rnacentral:rRNA from 1 species
GUCUACGGCCAUACCACCCUGAACGCGCCCGAGCUCAUCUGAUCUCAGAAGCUAAGCAGGGUCGGGCCUGGUUAGUACUUGGAUGGGAGAAAAGUGAGGGAUUCCUUGAAUGAGCAAUACAGGAAAGAAAUAGAUU